rnacentral:tRNA from 1 species
GCCUUCAUGGUGUAGUGGUCAGCACGCUCGACGCGUAUUCGAGAGGUCCGUGGUUCGAUUCCCGGAGAGGGCA